rnacentral:rRNA from 1 species
ACGAACGCUGGCGGCCGCUUAACACAUGCAAGUCGAGCGAAGCGGCGGACGGGUGAGUAACACGUGAGUAACCUGCCUUAGACAUUGGGAUAGCCUCGGGAAACCGGGAUUAAUACCGCAUAGUCAUAGAUGGGCUCGCGUCUGAUUAGCUAGUUGGUGAGAUAACAGCCCACCAAGGCGACGAUCAGUAGCCGGUCUUAGAGGAUGAACGGCCACAUUGGAACUGAGACACGGUCCAAACUCCUACGGGAGGCAGCAGUGGGGAAUAUUGCACAAUGGGGGAAACCCUGAUGCAGCGACGCCGCGUGAACGAAGAAGGUAUUCGUAUCGUAAAGUUCUGUCCUAUGGGAAGCAGUACCAUAGAAGAAAGCUCCGGCUAAAUACGUGCCAGCAGCCGCGGUAAUAC